rnacentral:rRNA from 1 species
GUACACGGUGGAUGCCCUGGCAGUCAGAGGCGAUGAAGGACGUGCUAAUCUGCGAUAAGCGUCGGUAAGGUGAUAUGAACCGUUAUAACCGGCGAUUUCCGAAUGGGGAAACCCAGUGUGAUUCGUCACACUAUCAUUAACUGAAUCCAUAGGUUAAUGAGGCGAACCGGGGGAACUGAAACAUCUAAGUACCCCGAGGAAAAGAAAUCAACCGAGAUUCCCCCAGUAGCGGCGAGCGAACGGGGAGCAGCCCAGAGCCUGAAUCAGUGUGUGUGUUAGUGGAAGCGUCUGGAAAGGCGCGCGAUACAGGGUGACAGCCCCGUACACAAAAAUACACAUAUUGUGAGCUCGAUGAGUAGGGCGGGACACGUGGUAUCCUGUCUGAAUAUGGGGGGCCCAUCCUCCAAGGCUAAAUACUCCUGACUGACCGAUAGUGAACCAGUACCGUGAGGGAAAGGCGAAAAGAACCCCGGCGAGGGGAGUGAAAAAGAACCUGAAACCGUGUACGUACAAGCAGUGGGAGCACGCUUAGGCGUGUGACUGCGUACCUUUUGUAUAAUGGGUCAGCGACUUAUAUUCUGUAGCAAGGUUAACCGAAUAGGGGAGCCGAAGGGAAACCGAGUCUUAACUGGGCGUUAAGUUGCAGGGUAUAGACCCGAAACCCGGUGAUCUAGCCAUGGGCAGGUUGAAGGUUGGGUAACACUAACUGGAGGACCGAACCGACUAAUGUUGAAAAAUUAGCGGAUGACUUGUGGCUGGGGGUGAAAGGCCAAUCAAACCGGGAGAUAGCUGGUUCUCCCCGAAAGCUAUUUAGGUAGCGCCUCGUGAAUUCAUCUCCGGGGGUAGAGCACUGUUUCGGCAAGGGGGUCAUCCCGACUUACCAACCCGAUGCAAACUGCGAAUACCGGAGAAUGUUAUCACGGGAGACACACGGCGGGUGCUAACGUCCGUCGUGAAGAGGGAAACAACCCAGACCGCCAGCUAAGGUCCCAAAGUCAUGGUUAAGUGGGAAACGAUGUGGGAAGGCCCAGACAGCCAGGAUGUUGGCUUAGAAGCAGCCAUCAUUUAAAGAAAGCGUAAUAGCUCACUGGUCGAGUCGGCCUGCGCGGAAGAUGUAACGGGGCUAAACCAUGCACCGAAGCUGCGGCAGCGACGCUUAUGCGUUGUUGGGUAGGGGAGCGUUCUGUAAGCCUGCGAAGGUGUGCUGUGAGGCAUGCUGGAGGUAUCAGAAGUGCGAAUGCUGACAUAAGUAACGAUAAAGCGGGUGAAAAGCCCGCUCGCCGGAAGACCAAGGGUUCCUGUCCAACGUUAAUCGGGGCAGGGUGAGUCGACCCCUAAGGCGAGGCCGAAAGGCGUAGUCGAUGGGAAACAGGUUAAUAUUCCUGUACUUGGUGUUACUGCGAAGGGGGGACGGAGAAGGCUAUGUUGGCCGGGCGACGGUUGUCCCGGUUUAAGCGUGUAGGCUGGUUUUCCAGGCAAAUCCGGAAAAUCAAGGCUGAGGCGUGAUGACGAGGCACUACGGUGCUGAAGCAACAAAUGCCCUGCUUCCAGGAAAAGCCUCUAAGCAUCAGGUAACAUCAAAUCGUACCCCAAACCGACACAGGUGGUCAGGUAGAGAAUACCAAGGCGCUUGAGAGAACUCGGGUGAAGGAACUAGGCAAAAUGGUGCCGUAACUUCGGGAGAAGGCACGCUGAUAUGUAGGUGAAGUCCCUUGCGGAUGGAGCUGAAAUCAGUCGAAGAUACCAGCUGGCUGCAACUGUUUAUUAAAAACACAGCACUGUGCAAACACGAAAGUGGACGUAUACGGUGUGACGCCUGCCCGGUGCCGGAAGGUUAAUUGAUGGGGUCAGCGCAAGCGAAGCUCUUGAUCGAAGCCCCGGUAAACGGCGGCCGUAACUAUAACGGUCCUAAGGUAGCGAAAUUCCUUGUCGGGUAAGUUCCGACCUGCACGAAUGGCGUAAUGAUGGCCAGGCUGUCUCCACCCGAGACUCAGUGAAAUUGAACUCGCUGUGAAGAUGCAGUGUACCCGCGGCAAGACGGAAAGACCCCGUGAACCUUUACUAUAGCUUGACACUGAACAUUGAGCCUUGAUGUGUAGGAUAGGUGGGAGGCUUUGAAGUGUGGACGCCAGUCUGCAUGGAGCCGGCCUUGAAAUACCACCCUUUAAUGUUUGAUGUUCUAACGUGGACCCGUGAUCCGGGUUGCGGACAGUGUCUGGUGGGUAGUUUGACUGGGGCGGUCUCCUCCUAAAGAGUAACGGAGGAGCACGAAGGUUGGCUAAUCCUGGUCGGACAUCAGGAGGUUAGUGCAAUGGCAUAAGCCAGCUUGACUGCGAGCGUGACGGCGCGAGCAGGUGCGAAAGCAGGUCAUAGUGAUCCGGUGGUUCUGAAUGGAAGGGCCAUCGCUCAACGGAUAAAAGGUACUCCGGGGAUAACAGGCUGAUACCGCCCAAGAGUUCAUAUCGACGGCGGUGUUUGGCACCUCGAUGUCGGCUCAUCACAUCCUGGGGCUGAAGUAGGUCCCAAGGGUAUGGCUGUUCGCCAUUUAAAGUGGUACGCGAGCUGGGUUUAGAACGUCGUGAGACAGUUCGGUCCCUAUCUGCCGUGGGCGCUGGAGAACUGAGGGGGGCUGCUCCUAGUACGAGAGGACCGGAGUGGACGCAUCACUGGUGUUCGGGUUGUCAUGCCAAUGGCACUGCCCGGUAGCUAAAUGCGGAAGAGAUAAGUGCUGAAAGCAUCUAAGCACGAAACUUGCCCCGAGAUGAGUUCUCCCUGACCCUUUAAGGGUCCUGAAGGAACGUUGAAGACGACGACGUUGAUAGGCCGGGUGUGUAAGCGCAGCGAUGCGUUGAGCUAACCGGUACUAAUGAACCGUGAGGCUUAACCUU